rnacentral:rRNA from 1 species
CGUCCUCAUAUUUAGUUUUUUUUUACCCAAAAUCGACCAUAAACCGACAACAUUUAGAGAAAAAGUCACUUUUGCACCAAACUCAUUUUAAGCCUAAGUCGACCACAUAUUUAGCUUAUUUCUACCCGAAACUGACCAAAACCGACUCAAUUUUAACAAAAAAAUCACUUUUGCAGCAAACUCAUUUUAUGCCUAAAUGGACACAUAUUUAGCUUAAGUGUACCAAAAUCGACCAAAAACGACACACUUAAACAAAAAGUCACUUUUGCACAAACCUUAGCUUAUGCCUAAAUCGACCUAAUAUUUAGAUUAUUUCUACCGUAAUCGACCAAAAACCGACAAAAUUUUAACAAAAAAUUACUUUUGCAACCUCAUCUUAUGCCUAAAUCGCCACAUAUUUAGUUUUUUUUACCAAAAUCGACCAUUAACCGACAACAUUUAGAGAAAAAGUCACUUUUGCACCAAACUAUUUUAAGCCUAAAUCGACCACAUAUUUAGCUUAUUUUACCCGAAACUGACCAAAACCGACACAAUUUUAACAAAAAAUCACUUUUGCAUUAACUCAUUUAUGAAAAAUCGACGAAAAACCGAACCAUUUAAAGAAAAAGUCAUUUUGCACCAAACUCAUUUUAAACCUAAUCGACCAUAUUUAGCUAUUCUCAAAAAUCCGACACAUUUUCAAAUCACUUUGCACCAAUAUCUUAUGCUAAUGCACAUAAUUUAUUUUUUUUAGCGAAGAUAGACCUUAGGUCGAAACGAUCUUAACCUAUUCUCAAACUUUAAAUGGUAAGAACCUAACUUUCUUGAUAUGAAGUUUAAGUUAUGAAUAAUGUGCCAGUGGCCACUUUGGUAACAGAAUGGCGCUGUGGAUGAACCAAACGUUUUCUUGCCUAACAUCAUGCAGAAACCAUAAAGCGUUGGUUGCUUAAAACAGCAGACGGUGAUCAUGAAGUCGAAAAUCGCUAAGAGUGUGUAACAACUCACUGCCGAAGCAACUAGCCUUAAAUGGAUGGCGCUUAAGUUGUAUACCUAUACAUUACCGCUAAAGUAGAUGAUUUAUUUUUGUAUAAAUUUUACUUUAGUGUAAAGUGACAAUGUUGUAGUGUAUUUCUACGCAUAACUGACCAUAACUGACACAAUUUGGUAGUAGCAAAUAAUCGAAUGAGACCUUGGAGGACUGAAGUGGAGAAGGUUUCGUGUGAACAGUGUUGAUCACGAGUUAGUCGUCCUAAGUUCAGGCGAAAGCCGAAAAUUUUCAAGUAAAAAAUCAGUGAGUAAUAUUGUCAAAUCUUUUAUGAUUUUUAAAUACUUGAAUAAAAUUUUCCCGAUUUUAACGAAAGGGAAUACGGUUCCAAUUCCGUAACCUGUUGAGUAUCCGUUUGUUAUUAAAUAUGGGCCUCGUGCUCAUCCUGGCAACAGGAACGACCAUAAAGAAGCCGUCGAGAGAUAUCGGAAGAGUUUUCUUUUCUGUUUUAUAGCCGUACUACCAUGAAGUCUUUCGCAGAGAGAUAUGGUAGAUGGGCUAGAAGAGCAUGACAUAUACUGUUGUGUCGAUAUUUUCUCCUCGGACCUUGAAAAUUUAUGGUGGGGACACGCAAACUUCUCAACAGGCCGUACCAAUAUCCGCAGCUGGUCUCCAAGGUGAAGAGUCUCUAGUCGAUAGAAUAAUGUAGGUAAGGGAAGUCGGCAAAUUAGAUCCGUAACUUCGGGAUAAGGAUUGGCUCUGAAGAUUGAGAUAGUCGGGCUUGAUUGGGAAACAAUAACAUGGUUUAUGUGCUCGUUCUGGGUAAAUAGAGUUUCUAUCAUUUAUGGUAGUUACUUGUUCCCCGGAUAGUUUAGUUACGUAGCCAAUUGUGGAACUUUCUUGCUAAAAUUUUUAAGAAUACUAAUUGGGUUAAACCAGUUAGUUCUUAUUAAUUAUAACGAUUAUCAAUUAACAAUCAAUUCAGAACUGGCACGGACUUGGGGAAUCCGACUGUCUAAUUAAAACAAAGCAUUGUGAUGGCCCUAGCGGGUGUUGACACAAUGUGAUUUCUGCCCAGUGCUCUGAAUGUCAAAGUGAAGAAAUUCAAGUAAGCGCGGGUCAACGGCGGGAGUAACUAUGACUCUCUUAAGGUAGCCAAAUGCCUCGUCAUCUAAUUAGUGACGCGCAUGAAUGGAUUAACGAGAUUCCUACUGUCCCUAUCUACUAUCUAGCGAAACCACAGCCAAGGGAACGGGCUUGGAAUAAUUAGCGGGGAAAGAAGACCCUUUUGAGCUUGACUCUAAUCUGGCAGUGUAAGGAGACAUAAGAGGUGUAGCAUAAGUGGGAGAUAUUAGAUUUCGGUUUGGUAUCGACAAUGAAAUACCACUACUCUUAUUGUUUCCUUACUUACUUGAUUAAAUGGAACGUGUAUCAUUUCCUAGCCAUUAUACGGAUAUAUUUAUUAUAUCUUAUGGUAUUGGGUUUUGAUGCAAGCUUCUUGAUCAAAGUAUCACGAGUUUGUUAUAUAAUCGCAAACAAAUUCUUUAAUGAGAAGAUGCAGUUAUGUAUUUUCAAUUUGAAAAUUUGGUAUAACUCCAAUUACUCAGGUAUGAUCCAAUUCAAGGACAUUGCCAGGUAGGGAGUUUGACUGGGGCGGUACAUCUCUCAAAUAAUAACGGAGGUGUCCCAAGGCCAGCUCAGUGCGGACAGAAACCACACAUAGAGCAAAAGGGCAAAUGCUGACUUGAUCUCGGUGUUCAGUACACACAGGGACAGCAAAAGCUCGGCCUAUCGAUCCUUUUGGUUUAAAGAGUUUUUAACAAGAGGUGUCAGAAAAGUUACCAUAGGGAUAACUGGCUUGUGGCGGCCAAGCGUUCAUAGCGACGUCGCUUUUUGAUCCUUCGAUGUCGGCUCUUCCUAUCAUUGUGAAGCAAAAUUCACCAAGCGUUGGAUUGUUCACCCAUGCAAGGGAACGUGAGCUGGGUUUAGACCGUCGUGAGACAGGUUAGUUUUACCCUACUAAUGACAAAACGUUGUUGCGACAGCAUUCCUGCGUAGUACGAGAGGAACCGCAGGUACGGACCAAUGGCACAAUACUUGUUCGAGCGAACAGUGGUAUGACGCUACGUCCGUUGGAUUAUGCCUGAACGCCUCUAAGGUCGUAUCCGUGCUGGACUGCAAUGAUAAAUAAGGGGCAAUUUGCAUUGU